GGCAGAGUGGCACAUAGGGGGUCAAAAGGCAUACCAUGGGGCACAGUGGCAUAUAGAGGGUUAAAAGGCAUAUCAUGAGCCACAGUGCCAUAUUGGAAUGUGCAUAACUGGGGGGCAGGUUGGAAAAUAGAAGGAAAUAAAACCAAAAUAUUUUUCUCAAGCAUACCUUUUAUUAAAAAAGUGUUUAAAUGAA